rnacentral:rRNA from 1 species
CUCUUUCAGGGUCCGAGUUGUAAUUUGUAGAAGAUGCUUUGGGUGUAGCUCCGGUCUAAGUUCCUUGGAACAGGACGUCAUAGAGGGUGAGAAUCCCGUACGUGACUGGGUGCUUUCGCUCGUGUAAAGCUCUUUCGACGAGUCGAGUUGUUUGGGAAUGCAGCUCAAAAUGGGUGGUAAAUUUCAUCUAAAGCUAAAUAUUGGNCAGAGACCGAUAGCGCACAAGUAGAGUGAUCGAAAGAUGAAAAGCACUUUGGAAAGAGAGUUAAACAGUACGUGAAAUUGUUGAAAGGGAAGCGCUUGCAACCAGACUUGCGCGCUGUUGAUCAUCCGAGGUUUUCCCCGGUGCACUCGGCAGCGUUCAGGCCAGCAUCGGUUUUGGUGGGCGGAUAAAGGCCUUGGGAAUGUAGCUUCUUUCGGGGAGUGUUAUAGCCCUCGGUGCAAUGCGCCCUACUGGGACCGAGGACCGCGCUUCGGCUAGGAUGCUGGCGUAAUGGUUGUAAGCGACC